rnacentral:rRNA from 1 species
UGGGGAAUAUUGGACAAUGGGCGAAAGCCUGAUCCAGCCAUGCCGCGUGUGUGAAGAAGGUCUUCGGAUUGUAAAGCACUUUAAGUUGGGAGGAAGGGCAUUAACCUAAUACGUUAGUGUUUUGACGUUACCGACAGAAUAAGCACCGGCUAACUCUGUGCCAGCAGCCGCGGUAAUACAGAGGGUGCAAGCGUUAAUCGGAAUUACUGGGCGUAAAGCGCGCGUAGGUGGUUUGUUAAGUUGGAUGUGAAAUCCCCGGGCUCAACCUGGGAACUGCAUUCAAAACUGACUGACUAGAGUAUGGUAGAGGGUGGUGGAAUUUCCUGUGUAGCGGUGAAAUGCGUAGAUAUAGGAAGGAACACCAGUGGCGAAGGCGACCACCUGGACUAAUACUGACACUGAGGUUCGAAAGCGUGGGGAGCAAACA